UACAGAGGGUGCAAGCGUUGUUCGGAAUUAUUGGGCGUAAAGGGCGCGUAGGCGGUGCUGUAAGUCUGUAGUGAAAUCUCUGGGCUCAACUCAGAGUCUGCUAUAGAAACUGCAGCGCUAGAGUGUGGGAGAGGUGAGUGGAAUUCCUGGUGUAGCGGUGAAAUGCGCAGAUAUCAGGAGGAACACCAAUGGCGAAGGCAGCUCGCUGGGACGGUACUGACGCUGAGGCGCGAAAGCGUGGGGAGCAAACAGG
rnacentral:rRNA from 1 species